rnacentral:lncRNA from 1 species
CGGGGUUUCACCAUGUUGGCCAGGCUGGUCUCGAACUCCUGACCUCGUGAUCUGCCUGCCUUGGGCUCCUGAGUGUUUUCAGAUAAGUAGAUAUUAAGUGACUGACUGAGUAAAGGGAUACACUGGAUCUAUGGAAGUCUUGAUCCAAAAAGCUCUCCAUUGUCCAGUCAGACUCCCUUUUCCAUCUCCAGGGCAGACCAGGGCAUGGUAUAAACUGACUCCACUCCUUGUGUGUAAUACAGUGUCUUCCUAGAGAGGGCGUCUGUCAUUCCACCCCCAGGGACUGCUUGGCAUCUGUGUGGCAGGGGCCAUGCUGUUCCCCGCUGGGAGCACCAUCCUACAGUAAUCUCUGUGCAGGAUGCUAUUAUAAGAAAGACUUGGGACUUUGUCCCCACUCUGCAACCUCACACCCCAAACUGGGAAGGUGCUGAGAAACCGAAGAUUGGCUCGGACAAGUCCAGCUUGGCCAGUAGAUGACUCUAUUGAGGGCCCUCCUGGGUGGCGGCAGGACAGCUCUAGAGGUUCGCACUGCUGCCAUCACUAAGCAAAGUCUCUGGUUCCUGGCCUGCUGUGUGUGAUGGGACUGCCUUCCUGGGUAGGUUCCCAGAUACUCCCAGGGACACACGCUCCUCGCUGGGCCCCCCUGGCCUUGGCUCCUUGCCUGGCCUUCAGGGUUCAGGCAGUGGACAUCCACCCCACGUGACAUGGUGGGACACCUGUCACACCACCGAUGCCCCUGCAGAUGGGCCACGCAACAGCCCUCGGGCCUUCCUGUCUCAGAGCAGGGCUGAUCACAGUCAGGCCCACUGCAGUGGAGAAAGACUGUGCAGAGCUAGACGCUGGACUCGGAUCCUCUCUAGCGUGGGACAGGCACUGGGCACCCAGGUCAGCUGCAGUUCCUGAGAGAGGGCAGCCCCAGAGUCAGAAUCAAGGUGUCAAUAAUAGGAGAAACGAUGGUGGGGAGGAGACCAAGGCAUUAAUAUAGGAACUCUGUAUACUUUCCAGUCAAUUUUUCCAUAAAACUAAAACUGCUCUAAAAAAGGAGUCUGUUAAUUUUUUAAAAUCUCAAAAAGAAUGUGGCUGGUGCCACAAUGAACAAUUUGAGUGAGAAGCUACUCAACGAGGUCAGAGGCAUCAGAGAGGAAGAACACAGCAGCCUGUUUUCUUUGCUGCUCUUUACCGUUAGAAAGAACACUUUUACAACAGACUCUGUUUGAGGACAAACGCUCCACAUUUUUGCCCGCUGGCAGCAGUCAUAAAUUAUGAGAUUUCUGAGGGGCACAAAACUGCAGCGGUCUAAACCAGGCAACAAAAAUCAGCCAAGUCCUUAUCAGGAUCCCCUACAAAUUCUAUUGACUUUUUUGGAUCUGUUUGUCCCUAGGUGUGAACUAGGGAAAAGUCAGGCGAGUCUGCCUUGCUAGUAUAUUUAAAAGAGGAUCUUGGAGAAUUUGAAAGAAAAUGUGGAAGAAGAAAUGACAGUGCUUGGUGAAAGUCAGCAGAAGGGCUUGAUAAUGGAACAGACUAAGGGUGGUGGAUAGUUUUAAGGUUGAGAGAGAAAUGGAAUUAAAAAAAAGGGAGAUAUUCCUGGGGGCUUGAAGCAAGAAGCAGCAGCCGAGAGCAGCGCUGAUCAGGAUGUGAAGGGAGCUUGGUGCGGAGGGCAGUGCUUCCUAUGAGAAAAAGUCCAGUGGUCAAUCUUUUGGGAAGGAGCUGGUGGGAUGAGGGGGCAGCUGGACUGACCUGAGUGCUGUUGUACUGUCUGACCAUCUCCUUUGUAAACAGACGCUCCACACUCAUGCUCAGAGCAGCAUUAUUCACAGCAGCCAGGAGGGGGACGUCGCCCAGGUGUUCCUCGGUGGAUGAAUGGAUAAAGAAAAUGUAAACACACAGUGGAAUCUUACUCAGCCUUGAAAAGGAAGGAAAGUCCAUCCAACACAUGCUACUGCAUGGACGAACUUUGGACAGUGAGCUAAGUGAAAGGAGACAGUCACAAAAGGACAAAUACCAGAUGAUCCCACCUGCGCGAGAUGAUAACAAAACACCUAUUUCUUUCCAGUUGGGAGGACAGCCAUUCUCAUCGGUAUAAUGAACGUAUUGUAAGCUGUGACUUUUACAAAGUCUGAGGGAAACCAAUCUGCAAUCUUGACAGAUACGAUCUUUCCAGAUGCACUGUUCGUUUACGGCGGCAAGAGAGCUCAAUUAAUUUCUGAGGGAGGACGGCAGGAUGCGACCCCUUGUGCGUGGCCUAGGAGGAACUGUCCCUGUGUGAAUUUAUGUUCUGGUAAUUUAAAAAGAUUUAUAUUAAGCUUUUCUUUCAUUUUGAGAGUAGAUUAAAAUUCUAAUGGAAACCAUUUGUAUGCAUUUGUUGAAUUGAAGAGUAUUUAUGGCUGUGUAAAAAAAAUGCUGCAAAAUUCUGCCGAUAAUAAAGUCAGUGAAGCAAGAAUAAGUGUAAAAACAGGAAGGAAAUACGCGAUAGAAACCAUACUGUAUUAUACAAGUAUAAUGAGGGAGGCAAGCCGAGCAGAACGGGGCAGGGAUUAGGCCCCCGGAUGGGAUAGUUUUUCUUAUUUAGUGUAAGGCUUUUGUAGCCCUUUUAUGACUUAAAACAAAAUUUAAAUUUUGAAACAGGCCAGGUCAGUCUGCACAGACCCCAUGGCCACAUCACUGUGUCACAUCAUUCUUGAACUCCUGCCGGUGUCUAGGACAAACAGGCAGGAAAGAAAAUCCAAGCGGCGUCUCAGAGAAAAGAUGCUGAUGGCAGGAAAAGAAGACCCAUGAAACAGGAGGCGGGGGUCAGCGAGCAAGGUGAAAAUCAGAGCCCCGGAGUGCAGUGCAGGUGGAAGAGAGGUAGCAAAACCAGGGAAGUCGCCGUGCUCGGGACAGUCCAGUGUGUCCCUGGCAUCCCCAGUCAUUGCCGUGGCCACCUGAUCAGAACCUGUACAGAAGCUGCCCCAUCUCCUCCACGGUGAGGGCCAAGUUGCAUGUGCCACAGCCCUGUCGGUGACCUUUCUGCGGGCUGGGGAAGCAGAGACAACGGCCUGACAAUCUGCAGGCACAGCCAUCCAAGGGGACAGGGUCCAUGCAACAGCCACCAGAGAAAGCUCCUCACUGCCACCUUUGCAGAGGGAGAAAAGCAGAAAGCAUCGUGGAGGCCCUUUAUCAUGUUGGAAGGCCAGAGACAUUUGGCAUUCCGUCAAGGUCCAUCUUAGAGUUGAGAGAGAGUUUCACCAGGAAACUCACAUUCUCUCAGAACUAGCAGCCGUGAUCGCAUGUCGAAGUCAGGCAACGCCAAGCGUGAUGGUUAACAGCGCUAAGACAGGAGAAAAUGGAAAUUCCCUGAGAGUCCACUGCUCUGCUCCUGCGGCGGUGCUUUUCCCCCUCGUUGUAAGCAUGCUCUUUACCAGAGCUGCACGGAUGUCAUAAACUGCCUCACGAUGCACUAGAGCAGAAUCGUGCGUUAGCAAAUUUCACAGAUGCAAAGUGGGAUUUCUGUCAAUGGAAGCCUGCAUGGAAAAUACGGAACAGCUUAAGAAAGUACUGUCUUCUCUCAAAAUUCCACAGGAGCCUGAAAUGCAGGGGUUCCGGCCUAGGCGUUUUUUGAGGCAAAUAACGUCGCCACACGGCCGAGAUACAGGCCCCUUUUUGCCCCAUGAGACUUACUGGCCUCAGAGUCCGGCCGCUUCUGUUUUGUUUCUUCAUGUAUCCUUGGCUUCUAGCGCAGUUCCUGGUACACAGCAGGCGCUCAAUACAUAUUUGCUGAGCUAAGCAAAUAUGUCCUAGGCCCUGUGGAAGAUACGACAUGAGGAAGACCAGGUCCCUGCCAAAAAGGCACCGAGGGCCCAGGCUGGGGAGGGUAGUGCUGACAUCGAGUAGGCCUUCAGCUCUGACCCCAGCUUCAUUUUAAGUGACUAGGAACAAAUUCUCAAAACUUCUUUUCUAUCAACUCUUCUUCACCCCCAAUAUCACAGCACAACUGUCUGUCAUUGAUGGAGUUCCUGCAAUAAGACAAGCGCUAGAAGUUUACCAUAUUUGUAUCCUUACUGGAUUCCCAAAUUAAUCCUAGUAAGCAAGUGACAUGAUUGUUUUUAGUAGAGACAGGGUUUCACUUUGUUGGCCAGGCUAGUCUUGAACUCCUGACCUCAAGUGAUCCACCCACCUCAGCCUCCCAAAGUGCUGGGAUUAGGAAAAUGAAUACUUUUGCAAGCACAAUGACAGGAGUGUCAAAGGAGGUAGGCUCCACACUCUGAUGUCUCUUUAUCAGUGAGGCCUUUUCUGACUCCCUCACAUGAAGAGCAAACUCACUUCCCUUGUGCCAAAGCACUCAACAUAUAUGACAUCCCACACGGGGUAGGCUGAAUCGUGGCCCUUAAAGUAUGUCCAUGUUCCAAUCCUUAGAACAUGUGAAUGUAUUACCUUAUGUGGCAAAAUGGACUUUGCAGACAUGAUUAAGUUAAGGAUCUUGAGAUUUCAGGAAAAUUAUCUUGGAUCAUUCAGGUAGGCCUGACAUAAUCACAAGAGCCCUUACAAGAGAGAGGCAGGAGGCCAGAGGCAGAGAGCUACACUGCGGAGCUGCUUUGCAGAUGGAGGAAGGGGCCACCGAGACCUGAGAAAGUCAAGGAGACAGAUUCUCCCCUGGAGCCUCCAGAGGGAACCAGCCCUGCUCACACCGUCAUUUCAGCCCUGCAAGACUUGUUUGGGCUUCUGACGUCAAGAACUGGGACAGAAUGAAUUUGUGAUGUUUUAGGCCACUAGAUCUGUGGUAAUGUGUUAUAGCAGAAAUAGGAAACUAACACAACUCAUCUCUACUUGUGUAUAUGUUUGUUAUCCGUCUUCCUCUGCUGGGACAUGAAAUCCGCAACAAGUGGAGGCAAAGCCAGGGACUUUGUCUAUUAUGUUGACUGGCAUCCUUAGUGCUCAGAACAGAGCUCAGAAUAAUAAAUAUUUGUUGAAUGAGCAAAGACGGAGGGGGCAGUCGCAGGAAGGGGGCCUACCGCGUGGCUAAGGGCCCUGAGGUAUGAAAGAUCUGAGAUGCUGGUGGACGUGGCUGCUUCCCGAGCUGAACUGGGGAAGUGGUGGGGAGGUGGGAGAUGUCGGGGAGCUGAUGCUGGGGCAGUUUAUACUUUAUUCUGCAAAUGAAGAAUUAUUGAUGGGUUUCAUGUAGAGUCAUGAUCAUAUUUCUUGAUUGCGUUUUUUUUUUGUUUUGUUUUGUUUUGUUUUUUUGAGACAGAGUCUCACUCUGUCGCCGAGGCUGGAGUGCAGUGGUGCGAUCUUGGCUCACUGCAACCUCCGCCUCCUGGAUUCAAGCUUCCCGAGUAGCUGGGAUUACAGGUGCAUGCCACCAUGCCCGGCUAAUUUUUGUAUUUUUAGUAGAGACGGAGUUUCACCAUGUUAGUCAGGCUGGUCUCAAACUCCUGACCUCGUGAUCCACCCACCUCAACCUCCCAAAGUGCUGGGAUUACAAGCGUGAGCCACUGCGCCUGGCCUCCUGAUUGCUUUUUAAGUAAUUUUUUAAAAAUAAUUUUUCUCUUUAUUAUUAAAUGUUAGAAAUAUAUGGAAACGUGGGCAAAAAGUAAAAAUCACUCAAAUCUCAUUCCUAGAGUUAGUCACUAUUAAUAUUUUGGUGUAUGUGUAUUUCUUCCUUCAACAUUCAGAUUAUAUACUUUUUUGAAACUGGCUUUUUUCUCUUAAUGUGAAUUUCUCCAUGUCAUUAAAUAUUCUCCUAAAAA